AUAAUCAUUAGAGGUUGCAACCAACAAGAGUAAUUAGUGGAGUUCCUGCUUGAACUUUGAAGCUAAUGAAAGGGGCGGUUGCCGAAGCACCAAGGGAAGCAGACCUUGGCGCGCUGGGACUUAGCUUAAGAGGCUAUGGACUGUCGCAGCGAAAAUCGUCAGCUGCGGGGCGCUAACGACGAC
rfam:Lactobacillus brevis subsp. gravesensis ATCC 27305 genomic scaffold SCAFFOLD3, whole genome shotgun sequence.